AAAAGAAGCACCACCCAAGUACAUUAUUGAUGUUCUGAAAUUGAGUUUUGAUAGACUUGAUGAGCGCCAAAAGAAUAUGUUUCUUGACAUAGCAUUUUUCAUCAAGGAAAUAGUUGAAGUUUCUUUGAACCUAAUAAGACAAUUAUAUGGCUCUUCUGUAGAUAUUGACAUAAAUGUUCUUAAAGAGAGAGCCCUCACUUCAUUGGAUCAUAACGGCUAUAUUGAGAUGCAUGAUCUUGUGAGGGACAUGGGUGUUGAAAUUGCUAGAGAACAGUCAUUCUCCAAUCCUAAAGGCCCUGUUCGACUGUGAAGUCAUAAGGACAUUUAUGAUUUUUUCAUUAGUAAAAAGGUGACUGAGUCAAUCCAAUGCUUGUCAUUGGACAUGAGCAAGAUAAAGAGGAUUCCAUUGACAGCUAAUGACCUUCGAAAGAUGCAUAAUUUAAUAUUUCUAAAAAUUUAUUGGUCUGAUUGGAGAGAGCCUUCAAAGUUGAUUAUUGGUAAGGAUAUGAGUUAUCUUCCAGAUGAACUAAUUCAGGGUUGUUAGUUGGAAGAAUAUCCUUUACCAUCUGUGCCGUUAAGCUUCUAUGAGGGGAAUCCUGCUGAGCUUCAAAUUCCUAAUGGUCAUAUCAGGCAACUUCGGAAAGGCCAUCAACAUUUUCCAAAUUUAAAGAAGAUCGACAUAAGCUGCUCAAAAUAUCUCACGGUACUCUCAGAUCUGUCUAAGACCCCGAAUCUUGAAUGCUUAAAAGCUGAUGGCUGUGUAAGUUUGGAUCAAAUCCAUUCUUCAAACUGUCCUAGUCAAGCUUACCGAUUUAUGUCUUGAGAUAUGAUGGGCCAGAGCGAAUAAACAUUGGUGGUACUGUUAAAGGGAGAAAGAAGUUGAUCAGGGUUAGUGAAUGUGCGUGAUUAUUUGGAUCUUCACAAGUUGUCAUUCAAUAAAGUGACACAAUGAAGAUGUUUGUGUCAGGAGGGAUCAUCUCUGGCGUUUGAUUUGAACGAGUGUCAGAAAGUGGCGUGGUGGUACCAUUAAGAAGAGAAGUGGGUAAUGAUAAUGAGGAGAGGAUGAGAUUGGAAGUUGAAGACGACGAGUUAAUGGCACAAGCGGAGUGUUGUACAGGUAACACUAAUGCUAGUGUAUUAGCACUUGUUCCAUUAUUGGAAACGCAAGAGGUUACAUUAUUCUACAAGCUUCAAUUUUGAAAAGCAAAAAGAUUCAACCUCUCGUAGAUCUAAAACUGCGUUUGGACAUUACAGAGUCCCAUAUGAGUAAUUAUUGUGGUUGCUUCUCUUACUCUGCU